GAUGAACGCUAGCGACAGGCUUAACACAUGCAAGUCGAGGGGCAGCAUAGAAGUAGCAAUACUUUGGUGGCGACCGGCGCACGGGUGAGUAACGCGUAUGCAACCUACCUAUCAGAGGGGAAUAACCCGGCGAAAGUCGGACUAAUACCGCAUAAAACAGGGGCACCGCAUGGUGAUAUUUGUUAAAGAAAUUCGCUGAUAGAUGGGCAUGCGUUCCAUUAGGUAGUUGGUGAGGUAACGGCUCACCAAGCCGACGAUGGAUAGGGGAACUGAGAGGUUGGUCCCCCACACUGGUACUGAGGCACGGACCAGACUCCUACGGGAGGCAGCAGUGAGGAAUAUUGGUCAAUGGGCGAGAGCCUGAACCAGCCAAGUCGCGUGAAGGAAGAAGGAUCUAUGGUUCGUAAACUUCUUUUGCAGGGGAAUAAAGUGCAGGACGUGUCCUGUUUUGUAUGUACCCUGAGAAUAAGGAUCGGCUAACUCCGUGCCAGCAGCCGCAGUAAAAC
rnacentral:rRNA from 1 species